rnacentral:rRNA from 1 species
AUGAACAUCGCCCUCCUGACCCGGUGGCUGUGGCGUAUUGCCAAUGGUGACGGAGGGUUAUGGCUCACCAUUAUCCGCAACAAAUACCUCCGUGGACAGCCUCUGGCUUUCUGUCAACGGUCGGGCGGCUCCCAGUUUUGGCAGGCCGUCGUGCAGUUGCUCCCCGUACUUCGUAUUGGCACGUCCAUUUCGGUUGGUACUGGGUCCGCGACCCUGUUCUGGUUCGAUCGGUGGCUCGGCGACACCCCUCUGGCCGCCUGCUUUCCCGAUCUCUUCGCCAUUGCUGUUGACCCUCGGGUCUCUGUUGAGACGGCCCUUAUUGACUUAGGGUGCCUCGCGUUCCGUCGCCCUUUCGGUCCCCUUGAAGUGGCCGCCUGGGACUCCCUCCUCCAGGACAUCGCCCUUCUCCCGAUGAGUGUUACUGACGCCCCGGAUGCCAUCUCGUGGCGCCUAGAGUCCUCCGGCCGCUUCUCUACUAGAUCCCUGUACGCAGCCAUCGCGCCUUCUCCCGCCCCCGAGCCCUUUGGUUUAAUCUGGGACAUCCGAUUACCUCUGAAGAUUAGGAUCUUCCUUUGGCAGUGGAUUCGUGGCCGCCUCCCCUCUGGUGUCGAAGUCCUCAAGCGCAAUGGACCCGGAGAUGGGCUUUGCCCUUUGUGCGGCACCGCGGAGGAUGCUAACCACAUCUUCUUCACGUGCCAUGCGGCACAGUUCCUCUGGUCCUGUUUCCGCGAGACGGUUGGCGGACAGUGGUGCAACUCCAACUUCCCCGACCUCCUCGCGGAAAUCCACGCCUCCCCUCCCCGCCACCGACAUUAA